CAGUCGCCGCGGUAAUACGUAGGGUGCAAGCGUUAAUCGGAAUCACUGGGCGUAAAGCGUGCGCAGGCGGUUAUAUAAGACAGAUGUGAAAUCCCCGGGCUCAACCUGGGAACUGCAUUUGUGACUGUAUAGCUAGAGUACGGCAGAGGGGGAUGGAAUUCCGCGUGUAGCAGUGAAAUGCGUAGAUAUGCGGAGGAACACCGAUGGCGAAGGCAAUCCCCUGGGCCUGUACUGACGCUCAUGCACGAAAGCGUGGGGAGCAAACAGGAUUAGAUACCCCAGUAGUCCCUGUCUCUUAUAC
rnacentral:rRNA from 1 species